rnacentral:lncRNA from 1 species
UGAAUUGAAAAUCAAGAAUUUAAUAAAUAUCCAAUUCUUUUGUGGAGAAGCUUUACAAAUUUUAUAUUUUCUCUUGAAAUCUAUAAAACUUAUGUUGUGUCAAUCUUAUGAUCGUGCCUAAAUUUGCCUCUCUUGAGCUCCAAAAUUGACUAGCAUCAAAUCAUUCAAUUAUUGAUCAGGCAAUUGAAAGCAUUAAAAUCAUGACACAAUUAAGCACACUUGGAAAAUCAAAUAAAAAUAGCCAUGACAAAACCAAAUCAUAAUAUCAAGUUUGGCUACAUCAAACCCUAGAAAAUGAACUUAGAUCAUGAUAUAUUCUAAGAAAAUACAAAAAGUCAUAUAAGAAAAUAUAAGUAAGAGAGUAGAAAAAACGAGGAUGCAGAUCUUCAAUUUCUUCCCUUGAUGUUGUUCUUGCCUCCCUUGAUUCCUCUUUUGAAUUAUAAUUGAAUCCCUUUGAAUUGUUUUCAAUCUUGACCUCUUCAAUUGUUGUGUUUGGCUUCGUCAAUUCCUCUUGAAAAUAGAAUUUUUUUUUGAAUGGUAUUUAUAGUAUGUUGGGAUCUUGGAUGAAUUAUAAUUGAAUUGGGCCAAGAAAAUAGUCCAAAAACAUAAAAAAAUGCAUUUUCCACAUAUCCGGUGCUCGGCGCCCAAGAUGGGAGCUAUGGUGCCAGGCUUGCUGUUAUUUCAGUGAAUUGGGCAUUGUGGCAUACCAAUUGGGCACCGAAAAUGACAAACUGCAGGUCUUUCAAUAUUUUUAAACUAACUUUCUCGUCUAAUGAUCGAUUGAGGUGAUUCAAGAUGAGUUGGAAAGCUAACUCAAAGGAAUACAACUUUGCUUCGGACAUCAUUCUCCAAUUCAAUCGUUUGCUAUGUCAAAAACGGGUCUCAAUGUGAGGCUGAAAUUUCGAAGCAUAAUUUUUCAGUUGAAAGUUGAUUUGUGAUCAUAUUUUGCCUAAAUUUGAUCCAUUUGACAUCUUUCUUCAUCCAAUUGACUCCUAACACUCUCGGAUCUUCAUCGUGAGGUUCAACACAAAUUUUAAAUAUUUUCACUUUAGUCCCUGAAUUUUGGAUCCCUUACAAUUUGGUAUUUUUUCUCCAAUUUCACCAACUUUUGCUUAUUUCUUUCAAUUUCAUCAACUUACAUCACAACAUCAAAACACUUAUUAAAACGCUCUAAAAUACUCUCAAGGGUUGCAAAAUAACGAAUUAAGUGGCAUAAAUAUUAUGAGUAUAGAGUACUAAUCAAAUACCCUCAAACUUAAUAUUUUGCUUGUCCUCGAGCAAACGCAAACUAAAGAGAAUAACAAACAAGCAUAGAAACCCAAUUAAAACCUACAAAAUCACGUAAGAACAAAUUUUGGUAGAUAUCUUCCUCUAUAGCUCAGAAUUAAAAACAUAGCAUUAAUGUCAAGAAUCACUUCAAAGUUAUAAUGGACAAGCUAAAUUCUCACCUAUUCAAUACAAAACGGGUGCGUGUAUGAAGUGUUAAGUGCAAUGUUGUACAAUAAUAAGUUGAUUCAAUUCUCAAUCUUAAAAGUCAAAUAUUUCCUUACUUCGCUCGUGGAAUUCACACACACCCAAACUUGUUUUCUUUUCUUUUCCCAAUGGUGUAAUCUAAGGUGGAUUUUCAAUACUAGAUUCUUACACCACUCAAGUUUGGUUAGAUUUUACUACUUGCACUUCAACAUAUUAAUAGAUGAGGAUUCUCUCUUCUUCUUCUUCUUCUUUUUUUUUUUUUUUUUUUUCACUGCUUCAACUUCUAGGAAUCAACCAAGUUACUAACCCCUUAUCAAGGGUCCAAUAUUUUUUCUUUUAACAAAACAUCCAAGUGUCAAUUUAAAUUUCACUACAUUUUAACUUGUAAGAUCAGCAACCCACUUCACAAGUGACGAAUACCAUAUGUUCUCAUCUAUCUGUGAUCAUGAUAUUCAUACCUCGAUAAUUUAAGAUUUAUUCAUAUGUUACUCUAACUUGAAUCUACGGACUAUAUCAAUAUAUAGAGUAAUAAUUCAAUUAAAUAAUAGAUUGACCAUAUUUAAAAUAAAUUAAUCAUAUUAAAAGUGUUUAGUGCAAAAUCGAUUGGAUUUAGGGAUAACACUUACAAACUCAUACUUGCACCAGAUCCAAUCACUUAUAUUUUUUAUACCAUAAGAGUCUAUAUGGCGAUCAUAUUUAUACUGAUACAACUCUUUGUCAAUGAAUUUGCAAUAUUAUUACUUGUAGGAAUUCAUUCUUUACUUACAUCAUUUCUUUGUAUUAUCUCUUUGAUGAGAUAAUAUUUUCUUAAUGUAACGCCCCAAAUUCUCUAGCAACCCGGAACGUUACCAAACGUGAAUUGAUUAAUAAAGUGCUUGAGGCAAAUACAUUUUAAUAUAACGAGGAAUUCAGUAAAAAUUGAACAACCCUAACAAAAGGUAAAUUAAAUUAAAUAACAUAUGCGGAACAAUUUGGAAUCAUAUCUUUUAUCAAACAUUAAUAAAAGUAGUUCUAACAAAUAAUAAAAAUAGGACUAAUUGAAAGUUAUGACGUGACUCGCAAUUGAGUCUAAAUUUAAAAAUAAUAAUAAUCAACUGUUAAUAAAUAUUCUAGUGUUUCUAAAAAUUAAAGUACUUCAUGAUGGAGAUCCAUUGGUCCAAUAUGCAUCCAUCCACCGCCGUCCAGCAUACUAAUUUCUACCUGAAAAUUGUAAAUAGAGAGGGAUGAGUAUAACGAAUUAUACUCAAUGAGGUGCUUGCUACUCCACAUUCAAAUCAAACGUGAAAUUAUGCAUAAAUUCUCUUACCAACAUAACAUGAGAAUUAUCACACCAUGACAAAUGAUAAUUCAAGCAAGCGCUGCAAAUAACGUGAAGGCUAAAUUGUGCCUUAAACUGUAUCAUGAUUUCUCCCAAAGGAGCUCUGAACUGAAGUAAUUAAAUCCAUACAUAACAACGUAUUUGAAAAGAUGUGGACAAACCACUAAUAGCACUGAGCAUCUCACCUUUUGAAGAUGAACGUGGAAAACAAAAUUGCUGAAAACGUGAUUCUUUAUUGAAAUUCCAAAUCCUUAAAAAGCCUUAAUAAUAUGGAGAAAUAUUUUUAAAGAGGAGGAGAGAAUAAAGACUUGUAGAAGAAGAAUGAGGAAUUAAUGACUGAAUGCUUGAGGCUUAGUGCUAUAUUUAUACUAAACCACGGUGUAGGGUAAUCACGUGGGGAGUGGAAUUUCACUGAAAUUAGAACUCUAAAUUUCGUCCAAGUACAUCCCAGAAAUUUGGUUUGGAAAUCCUAACCUCCUGUUUGAUAUAAUCUGACUUGGGGAUUAACUUUUGAUAUUGGUGCCCAAACCAACUACUAUAAUAAUGAGGAGACAUUACUGGAGCAUAUCCUUUGCACACGUGAUCAUUAGGAUAAGUUUAGUCUAAAAUAACUAAUAGUUUAUGCAUACUAAUUAAAUAUUAACCAUAAACUUAAUUAAUUAAAUAGUAGACUACAUAAAUAAUAUAUGGAGUUUGUUAAGAAUUGAAGUCUAUCAUAAUGGCCGAAAUUGGACAAAAGAAAAGAUAUUUAAUUCCUCUAAAAAUUUGAUUAAUUACUAAAAAUUUGAUUAAUUAAUUAGAAUUCUGAUAAGUGAUAACUAUUAACUAUUGGGUUUAGAUAAGUUCAAAAUCAACUACAAUUAUAAUAAGGAAAAAGACAAAUAGGCAUUAUCCUGCAUGAUGUUUACCCACGUGGACUGGGAACCUCCUAAUUGCAUGCAUAAUACAUUUUUAUUAUUCUAAUAAAACAAUAGAUAACUAAUUAUCUCUUGUCUUUGAUUAAAUCAAAAUAAUUUAAAGAGUGUUUCAAAUGAAAUAAUUUAACUAGUUUAAUUAAUUAAAGUCCUAACUAUUCCAAUAUGAUAAUUAUUAAAAGACUCUAUCAUAAUCGAAAUCCUACGUGAUUAAGAAUAAUAGUUUUUAUCCUAAUCAAAG